AGUGUGUGAGGGUCGCACAUUACACACCUGUUUUUUUUCUUCUUUCUGUGUUGCCCAGGAAUUUAUCACAUGCUUCUUGUGAAGGUCCAACUCAAUCUGAGGGUGAGAAAGAAAAUAUUAAUUUCCCCAAGGGCCUGCGUGAGACUGACCGAGGUGACUUACUGCGGUCGGUGCCACCUGCUGGAACCUGACCAUGACUCGCUGCCCCAACAAAAGCAGUCUGGAUGAGGGCCAGGGUAGUCACGGCCUUCACACCUAAGGUCAAUCCCUGGCACCACAUCCCUGUGCUGCUCCCGGAGCCUUCGUUCCCGCAGGCUCAUACUCAGCCUCAGUUCCUCCAGCUCUUCGGCCAGCAAGUCCUGCUCCUCCAGCAUAAGCUUCCUGAGUCUCUCCCGCCGGACCUCCAGAUUCUUCCUCCUCUCCUCCUCCAUCUUACCACAGUAGAGGGCGUGCAUGCUAGGUCCCGCGGCGACCGCGACGCCUCGUCCCGCCCCUCGGCCCAGCCUAACCUCUGACUCCUGCGCCUGGCGCCGGAGGUU